GCAGUCGUGGCCUACUGGUUAGCGCUUCGGUCUUGUAACCGGAGGGUUGCCGGUUCGAACCCCGACCAGUAGGCA
rnacentral:tRNA from 1 species